rnacentral:rRNA from 1 species
CGCCGCGUGAGGGAUGACGGCCUUUCGGGUUGUAAACCUCUUUCAGCAGGGAAGAAGCGAGAGUCGACGGUACCUGCAGAAGAAGCGCCGGCUCAACUACGUGCCAGCAGCCGCGGUAAUACGUAGGGCGCAAGCGUUGUCCGGAAUUAUUGGGCGUAAAGAGCUCGUAGGCGGCUUGUCGCGUCGGAUGUGAAAGCCCGGGGCUUAACCCCGGGUCUGCAUUCGAUACGGGCAGGCUAGAGUUCGGUAGGGGAGAUCGGAAUUCCUGGUGUAGCGGUGAAAUGCGCAGAUAUCAGGAGGAACACCGGUGGCGAAGGCGGAUCUCUGGGCCGAUACUGACGCUGAGGAGCGAAAGCGUGGGGAGCGAACAGGAUUAGAUACCCUGGUAGUCCACGCCGUAAACGUUGGGAACUAGGUGUGGGCGACAUUCCACGUCGUCCGUGCCGCAGCUAACGCAUUAAGUUCCCCGCCUGGGGAGUACGGCCGCAAGGCUAAAACUCAAAGGAAUUGACGGGGGCCCGCACAAGCAGCGGAGCAUGUGGCUUAAUUCGACGCAACGCGAAGAACCUUACCAAGGCUUGACAUACACCGGAAACGUCUGGAGACAGGCGCCCCCUUGUG